GAAACCUUUCAGGUGUUAAAGGGAAAGCGAAAGUGAAAGAUAAGAUUGCAUUUUGAAUUAUUUACUCUCUCAUCAGUCUCAAGAUUUUCACAAAUUGAGUAUCCGGAUAGCACUUUUAGGAAUCACAGCUAUAACAGGUGGUAAGAAAUGGAUAUAGCAGUUUCAAAGUCCAAAUACUGUAUGGUUCCGAAGGAGGAUAUGGAUAGUUUUCUGAAUUACCUAAAAGCCUCCCUGAGGCAAGCAGAAGACGUGAAAAGCCAUAUAUUCAAAACUCACCCUUCUUUAGACGAAAUGUCGUUAGAA